rnacentral:rRNA from 1 species
CCAACAGGGAUUGCCUUAGUAACGGCGAGUGAAGCGGCAAAAGCUCAAAUUUGAAAUCUAACGCCUCUGGUGUUCGAGUUGUAAUUUGGAGAGGCAUCUUCCGGAGUGGCCCAGCCUAUGUACCUUGGAACAGGACGUCAUAGAGGGUGAGAAUCCCGUUCUUGGCUGGAUGUUCACUCCCGUAUGUAGUGUCUUCUACGAGUCGAGUUGUUUGGGAAUGCAGCUCAAAAUGGGUGGUAAAUUUCAUCUAAAGCUAAAUAUUGGCGAGAGACCGAUAGCGCACAAGUAGAGUGAUCGAAAGAUGAAAAGCACUUUGAAAAUAGAGUCAAACAGUACGUGAAAUUGUUGAAAGGGAAGCGCUUGAGACCAGAGUCAGCCUUUGGCAAACAACUGUCCUUCUGGGCGGUGCACUUGUCAUUGGUUGGGCCAGCAUCGGUUGGGACGGUGGGAUAAAGGCUUGGGAAAUGUGACUCCUUUAUGGAGUGUUAUAGUCCCAGGUGGCAU